rnacentral:sRNA from 1 species
GAUACCAAGGUCAAACGGUCAAAAAUCUAACGUAAGCUUGCUUACAGGGAGAUUUUUGACUGCUUGACCUGCCCCGAACAUGAGCAAGCAGCCAUUUCCGUUAGGAAAUGCGCGGAUUGCGAAUGGGCGGGGGCGGAUUGCGCGAGCACGCAGUGCGCAGCAAUCCGGUAUC